GAGAGCUUGCUCUUUGAUUCAGCGGCGGACGGGUGAGUAAUGCCUAGGAAUCUGCCUGAUAGUGGGGGACAACGUUUCGAAAGGAACGCUAAUACCGCAUACGUCCUACGGGAGAAAGCAGGGGACCUUCGGGCCUUGCGCUAUCAGAUGAGCCUAGGUCGGAUUAGCUAGUUGGUGAGGUAAUGGCUCACCAAGGCGACGAUCCGUAACUGGUCUGAGAGGAUGAUCAGUCACACUGGAACUGAGACACGGUCCAGACUCCUACGGGAGGCAGCAGUGGGGAAUAUUGGACAAUGGGCGAAAGCCUGAUCCAGCCAUGCCGCGUGUGUGAAGAAGGUCUUCGGAUUGUAAAGCACUUUAAGUUGGGAGGAAGGGCAUUAACCUAAUACGUUAGUGUUUUGACGUUACCGACAGAAUAAGCACCGGCUAACUUCGUGCCAGCAGCCGCGGUAAUACGAAGGGUGCAAGCGUUAAUCGGAAUUACUGGGCGUAAAGCGCGCGUAGGUGGUUUGUUAAGUUGAAUGUGAAAGCCCCGGGCUCAACCUGGGAACUGCAUCCAAAACUGGCAAGCUAGAGUAUGGCAGAGGGUGGUGGAAUUUCCUGUGUAGCGGUGAAAUGCGUAGAUAUAGGAAGGAACACC
rnacentral:rRNA from 1 species